GACGAACGCUGGCGGCGUGCUUAACACAUGCAAGUCGAACGGAAAGGCCCCCAUCUUGGUGGGGGUGCUCGAGUGGCGAACGGGUGAGUAACACGUGGGUGAUCUGCCCUGUACUUCGGGAUAAGCUUGGGAAACUGGGUCUAAUACCGGAUAGGACCAUGGUUUAGUGUCUCAUGGUGGAAAGAUUAUUGUUUUGGUGCAGGAUGAGCUCGCGGCCUAUCAGCUUGUUGGUGGGGUAAUGGCCUACCAAGGCGUCGACGGGUAGCCGGCCUGAGAGGGUGGACGGCCACAUUGGGACUGAGAUACGGCCCAGACUCCUACGGGAGGCAGCAGUGGGGAAUAUUGCACAAUGGGCGCAAGCCUGAUGCAGCGACGCCGCGUGGGGGAUGACGGCCUUCGGGUGGGAAACUCCUUUCGUUAGGGACGAAGCCGCACUUUUUUUGGGUGUGGUGACGGUACCUUUGUUAAGAAGCACCGGCUAACUACGUG
rnacentral:rRNA from 1 species